CGGGUAGACAGGCCAGCCCCGAUUGAAGUCUGGUCUUUAUGUUAAAAAGGUAAUAAUCAUCAUG
ncrna:unclassified sequences DTF2815 RNA